rnacentral:rRNA from 1 species
UACGAAGGGGGCUAGCGUUGUUCGGAAUCACUGGGCGUAAAGGGCGCGUAGGCGGCUUUGUAAGUCGGGGGGUGAAAGCCUGUGGCUCAACCACAGAAUUGCCUUCGAUACUGCAUGGCUUGAGACCGGAAGAGGUUAGUGGAACUGCGAGUGUAGAGGUGAAAUUCGUAGAUAUUCGCAAGAACACCAGUGGCGAAGGCGGCUGACUGGUCCGGUUCUGACGCUGAGGCGCGAAAGCGUGGGGAG